AUUGGUCCUGCCAUAAGAUCAAUCUUCCCCAUAACUAUUGAGAGAAAGUGCACUCAUGGAAGAGAUGCUCACUUGUUUCUGUUGUGGUAUGACAUAGAACACUAGUCUGAUCAAUAUUAAGUCCCCAUUUUGCAAGUUUAUCUGUUGUAUUAAGGUUCCCAUGUAGUGAUACCAACAACAACAAUAACAACAACAACCUAGUAUAAUCCCACUUAGUGGGGUUUGGGGAGGGUAGUAUGUACGCAGACCUUACCCCUACCCUUGGGUAGAGAUCAAUUAGUAUUUGAAGCUAAAUAUGUUUACUUUUUUUUUUGGUAACUAACUAUUUUCAUUAAUCACCAAUUGGGAAACUUUACAAAGUACAGCAAGCUACAACUCUGCUUGCUGAAUCUAAAACUAUAAACAAAGAUCCUAUUGUUAUGCAACUACGCUUAUCAUACUCCUUGGCUAUUACACCCAAGUCUAGUCUUGCUCCUAUUUAUUAGAGUUUGCUAGAAAGGCAGAUGGUUAAGUAUGCAAUCUCACAUUAAUACACAAGCAAUUUCUCUAGCUAAACUAUCCACCUUUUUUUCCACUUUUUCAAAUAUCCUAGAGUUCCUUUCCGUCCAUAUUGCAUAUAUAGUUUUUGUGUGCACCUGCUUCAUUAGGUGAGCUUUGGUAGAUUUCCCUUUGACAUUAUUGUGAAGCCACUGAUGCUGUUGAUUGGCAUUAGCUCUUAGAGGUAUUGGUCCUUGUAGCCAUAAGAUCAAUCUUCCCCAUAACUGUUGAGUAAAAGUGCACUCAUGGAAGAGAUGCUCACUUGUUUCUGUUGUGGUAUAACAUAGACACUAGUUUGAUCAAUAUUAAGUCCCCAUUUUGCAAGUUUAUCUAUUGUAUUAAGGUUCCCAUGUAGUGAUACCCAUAGGGUAAAUACAGCCUUGGGUCUAGCUGCAUUAUUGUACAUGAAGUGCUUCCAUUGUACCUUAGAAUGAGUUUCCAAGAGUUGUUUGUAACAGUAUUUGAUCAUGAAAUGUAGUUUUUGCGGGGUACCCUGUAUAUGACUAAAGUCUCCUCUUGCUUCCAGCAGUUUUCUCACCAUCCAACUAGCUUGUUGU
rnacentral:lncRNA from 1 species